GUGUCGGGAGCAGCAGCUCGAGCGAAUCUCGGGUCUGGCUUUGAGCGAUCCGCUCGACUUAAGUUAGUAACUUACGUCUAGACAGCAUACGACAAACAUUGACAUUCUCGCAGUAUGUUUCAUACCUAUGUGUGUGUGGUGUGCGGAACCUGGAACUAGUGCGCCGUGCCCGCGGUAUUCUUCACCGCCUCACGUGUAACAAUGAACGAAAAGACUAUGGAUGACACAUGGCCGUCAAUAAUUACCGACGCAAUGUUGGGUCUGUAUCGAGGAUAGGAAGGAGAGUGACGCAGAGAGGACCGGAACUCGGUCGGAGUAACUUGGAGAACUUGGACUUUUGUGCGAGCUGUCACAUGUAAUUAUUCUGCACUGAGAGAAAAAGUUUCUAAAAAAUAAAAACACAUUUAUUCGUGUACGGCAACUUGUAUAACAAUCAAAACGUAAUUAAGGAGAAACGUUUAACUAAAGGAGUGAAUCUCGAGUCACGGUGUGAACCCGUAAAAAUUCAGAUUAAAAGAGAGACGAGGAAAGAAAGAGCAGAAUUUCUUUUGUAACAGAGAAAGAAAAAUAAAAGAAAACGAGUUCUCGUCGACGAAACUCCCAGUCGAUGAAACGAAGACGAGUCACCCUCCCGCACGCACAGAAACCAAGAAAGAAGGAUGCAUUGCGAAGAGAACAUUCUCCUGGCUGCGAAUAUGUACACAGCGAUACGGGAACACGCUGCGCUGCUUGGCCAUCCAUAGCGUAGCCAAGUCCUUGAACGACGGCACCAUCGGGUUGUAGCCGCAAUUCCGCUGCAGGCUCUUGUGUCCGAUCAGGCGCGACGGCAUUAACGGGUCUGCAAGCGAGAGCAAGAAGAAAACGGGGAAUAUUAGUUGUGGAAAGAGAAGCGGCAGGGCUGUGAAGAUUUAGGAAAAUAACAGAAAUUACGGACGCAGCAAGAUAGGGGAUGCGUUUUAUCGUCGAAUUAACGACUCGUCGAGAACGAACUGACGAGAAAUUAUCCGGAGAUCUGCACCAAUCAUGAAGUCACGAUUGAGAAUGAAUCUUUCCAAUGACUCCCUGCGGAUUUAUACAAUAGAAAAAUGUGCGAGGAUAUAAAAGACGUGUGUUACACCGAUGAUCCUCCUCCUCUUUCGUUCGGCUUUUGCCACGAGCUGCGAAUUUCCAUUACCGUUGUCCGAUCGGGACAAUUAUCCUCGACAUGCCUGCUGAUCCCGACAACGGCACUCAUCGUGCCGUGACGCGACAUGGGUGUAGUUUCAUAGGCAAGUCUCUUUGAUUAUACAAUAAUUAUACUCUCGCGUUGUGAUCUGCGCUCUUACUUGCCCUAUUUUAUUGGUAAUCUCUUUGCUCGGAAUCCACAAACGAAUCAUGCGGGAUCGGACGAGAGCAGACCGUCGAAAUGAGGGACUCGGGAUAUCGCAGCGUAUCAAGUGAUGAAACAGUGCAGCCGAACAACGUUCUUACCGGUCCUCCUAUCCCCGUUCUAAGCGUAGCAAUCGAUGCCAGAAGAGAGGAGGGCUUGACAGACCUAAAAUUGAAUGCACAAUCAGAAUAAUUGAAAGAAUUACCUAGAAAUCACGCGGACCACUGAAACAAAUAAGAAUCGAACACUUCUCAUCAGAUGCUGGACUGUCAUGAACACGCAGACUCGCUUUAGAUGUAGAUAAUCUUUGUC